CACUUUAGUUCGAGCAAAGAACGUUCAACAUGCAUCUUCUUAGCCAUACUUUGCUAUUUCAUAUUUUUCAGUUCUCAAUAAUGUUGCCCUUAUUCAGUUGCAGACAUGAGUGCGGUCCGCUCACAAUUAUAAAUACACAACUUGGAUACUGUUCAAAAGUCGAUUUUUGCAACAAAAUCGAAUCAGACGAAUGUGGAAUUGGCGAAACUUGUUGCGAUACAGCGCCAAGAAAUAUGUUUGAAUAAAAUAUUAGAGGAUAAAACAGAUCGGUAUAUACAAUAUUGAAAGAGUGUACGUGUUCACAUAACUUACCAAUUCUAAAUUGAGUUAUGCAGUUCACAUUUUAUUUAUUUGUCGCCUGAAAAAAGUUAUAUCUUAUUAUUAGACAUCAAAAAUCAUUACAAAUAUUUAUAAUAAAAUGUUAUGUUUAAUGCUGGAAAUAAAA